AUACGACAUCACGAGAGGUCGAAACCUCGCCUCUGACUUGAUUUCCCGUUAAGCAGAUGAAACAAUGCAGCCAUCUACAAGCUGAGAGGAGAGAAAGAUGAAAUGGCGAGACUGGAUCUUCAACCAAAGUUAGGACCCCAGCGUGCAAUGAGGAGGCUCCUCUUGCUCGAAUACUGGCUUUUAACCCAGAGGAAUCCUAGCGCGCUCCUUCUUCCCCAGAUGUGUUGAACCGGAUAGUAAGCGAUGUCCAAAUUACCAGAGCCAUUGUGUCAAUUAAGAGGUUCGUGCGUCCCAUACUUCUUCACGAGAGGUCGAAACCACGUCUCUGACUUGAUUCCCCGUUGAAGCAGACGAAACAAUACAGCCAUCCACAAGCUGAGAGGAGAAUUCGAAAAAGAUGGAAAAAGGGCUAGAGUGGUUCUUCAACCAAAGUUAAAACACUACUGUGCGUUGAAGAACAAAUCCACCAAUGAAAGAUUCCAAGUGGUGAAAAUGUUCUCUGUUCAAUGACGGAAAAGGUUGGAGAAAUUUGCUCGAAGGAUUGGAAGUUGGGCAAGCAUCGCAUAAAUGCAUAUUACCAGGCGUCAUACGCAUAUUGCAACUCACUCAAAGCAGCAUGUUUAACUACUAACCAACUGGAAAAGGUAGUAUCACGCAACAAAAGAUGUGUUGAAAAUGGGCAUAGAUUUUUCCUGUGACUUUCAAAGAGUUUGCUGGCUUGUUCCAUCCAAGCACCGGCAAUGCUUUGACCAUUAUUGUGGAUGAAGAUAUAUGGGGCGGGCAGCACUAAGCGCUAAAAUAUAUGCUAGGUACAAAGGGAAAUCAGAGAACAGCAUUCGCUUCAUUUUCUUGCGCUAGCUCAAGAUCACCACAGCCGCAGCCACUGCCACUCCAACAGCACCUUCUGCCAAUAUGGCACCAUUCGCUACUGUCUUGCUGCCUGAAGAACUUGGCGUGAACCCCAGUUCAGAGAGCUUCUUAUGCAAGAUUGCAUAAUCUCUGAAAAUUGCAUCCUCAUCCUGCCACAUGCUUGACAACAUUAGGGAAAGAAGAGCAUAUAGCAAAAGAAAACGAGGAGGAAAAGAAGCACGGUAUCAAAUUGUCCGUUUGUCUCUUUUCAAGGUCGUGCCAACCACCAUGAGAGAGUUGCGGGAACAACAACCAAUUCAAAUAUCAAAUCAGGUGUUCCCAGUAGCACAAUGAUGAUGCUCUAGCCUAGAGGUUUCAGGGAACCACAUAAUAUAUCAAUCCCAACACAUGUAUGUAUCUACCCAACAUUUGAUGUGCGAUCUCAUCAUGAAUAUUUCCUGGUCUCUACAUAGAAGAUAGUGAUGGAACAGACUGAAUGCUUACUUUUAAGCAUCACAAGCCUACACAGCAUAAAUUCCAUGAAAAACACUUUCCAUCUCUUUUCA